UAAAACUAAAAGUGUUAUACUUUCUAGCACAGGUAAAAGUAGUGAAGUUCAGAGCUUUACUGGAAAGGCUCACCCAGAUUCUGCUACAGUUUGCUGUGAGGGAAAGAUUGUUGACUUCUUCCAAUUUUUGGAACAUCAAAGGGAAAGGCUUUCCUUCAGCCUGCAAACCCACUCAAGCAAAACGUGCUGAGUGUUCACCUUGAUCUUGAUACAUUGUCUAACAAACAAUCCCUGACAAUGAAGGUCCUUCUGAUAGGUCUUUUGGCUUUGCUGCUUUGUGCAUCUAGUAUCAUCAAUAAUAUGCAAGGUGUUGAAGCUGCUUCACUUUUCAGUGAG